CCUUAGAGUUUGAUCCUGGCUCAGGACGAACGCUGGCGGCGUGGAUUAGGCAUGCAAGUCGAGCGACGGAUAGCCUUCGGGCUAUUACGGAGCGGCGAACGGGUGAGUAACACGUGAAUAAUUUGUCCUCACGUUCCGGAUAAUUGGGAGAAAUCCCUUGUAAUACGGGCGAGGGUCUUGGUGGGGCAUCCCAUUAAGAAGGAACGCGCAAGCGGCGCGAGGAGAUGUUCGCGGCCUAUCAGGUAGUUGGUGGGGUAAUGGCCUACCAAGCCGACGACGGGUAGCUGGUCUGAGAGGAUGGUCAGCCACACUGGGACUGAGACACUGCCCACACUCCUACGGGAGGCUGCAGUCAAGAAUCUUGGGCAAUGCACGAAAGUGUGACCCAGCGACGCCGCGUGAAGGAUGAAGGCCCUCUGGGUUGUAAUCUUCUUUUAUGGGGGAAGAAUAAAUGACGGUACCCCAUGAAUAAGCCACGGCUAACUACGUGCCAGCAGCCGCGGUAAUACGUAGGUGGCAAGCGUUGUCCGGAUUUACUGGGCGUAAAGCGUGCGCAGGCGGACGGGUAAGUAAGAAGUGAAAGGUUGGAGCUCAACUCCAACACUGCUCCCUAUACUGCCUGUCUUGAAUGUCAGAG
rnacentral:rRNA from 1 species